GAUGAACGCUAGCGGGAGGCUUAACACAUGCAAGUCGAGGGGCAGCAUAGGGUAGCAAUACUCUGAUGGCGACCGGCAAACGGGUGAGUAACGCGUAUGCAACCUACCCUGUACAGGGGGAUAACCCGGAGAAAUUCGGACUAAUAUCCCGUAAUAAUAUCCGGAGGCAUCUUUGGAUAUUUAAAGUUCCGACGGUACGGGAUGGGCAUGCGUAACAUUAACUGGUUGGUAAGGUAACGGCUUACCAAGGCUAUGAUGUUUAGGGGUCCUGAGAGGGUGGUCCCCCACACUGGUACUGAGACACGGACCAGACUCCUACGGGAGGCAGCAGUGAGGAAUAUUGGUCAAUGGGCGCAAGCCUGAACCAGCCAUCCCGCGUGCAGGAAGACGGCCCUAUGGGUUGUAAACUGCUUUUCCAGGGAGAGAAACUUACGCACGUGUUGCGUGACUGACGGUACCCUGGGAAUAAGCAUCGGCUAACUCCGUGCCAGCAGUCGCGGUAAAAGUCACGUCG
rnacentral:rRNA from 1 species